rnacentral:rRNA from 1 species
AACGAACGCUGGCGGCAUGCCUAACACAUGCAAGUCGAACGAGACCUUCGGGUCUAGUGGCGCACGGGUGCGUAACGCGUGGGAACCUGCCCUUAGGUUCGGAAUAACUCCCCGAAAGGGGUGCUAAUACCGGAUAAUGUCUUCGGACCAAAGAUUUAUCGCCUUUGGAUGGGCCCGCGUUGGAUUAGCUAGUUGGUAGGGUAAAAGCCUACCAAGGCGACGAUCCAUAGCUGGUCUGAGAGGAUGAUCAGCCACACUGGGACUGAGACACGGCCCAGACUGCUACGGGAGGCAGCAGUGGGGAAUAUUGGACAAUGGGCGAAAGCCUGAUCCAGCAAUGCCGCGUGAGUGAUGAAGGCCUUAGGGUUGUAAAGCUCUUUUACCCGGGAUGAUAAUGACAGUACCGGGAGAAUAAGCGCCGGCUAACUCCGUG